rnacentral:sRNA from 1 species
UUGACAGGACUAGGGUCUGAAACCAUUUGUUUAUAGAUGGACAAGUAGAGAGUGGGCAUUGGCUAUUCAGCUUCCCAUGCUGUAGGCCUCAACCAAGUUGUAGAAAGACCAUUUCUAGGGGAGAGAGGUUAGUUCAGCCUCCAUGCCCAUUCAGUCCUUGCUCUCU